ensembl:lncRNA
CAGCAGCAACAGCAACAACAACAGCAGCAGCAGCAGCAACAACAACAACAACAGCAGCAACAACAGCAACAGCAACAACAACAGCAACAGCAACAACAACAACAGCAACAGCAACAGCAACAACAGCAGCAACAGCAACAACAGCAGCAACAGCAACAACAACUACAACAGCAGCAACAGCAACAGCAGCAACAACAACAACAACAACAACAGCAGCAACAGCAGCAGCAACGACAGGGUUCGGAAGCUGGGGUGGAUGGUGACUAGAGCUUGCUGGCAGUGUGUGAAGCCGUGAGCAGGGAGCGUGGAGCGGUGAGCGGGAACAGUGGGAGGCAGCGGGGUCUCUGGCGGGAGGGGAGGCGCUGCACUCCUGCAGAGUGGGAGGAGGGUGGUUUAUUUCUGCGUACAGUCAUUGUGGCUAUAAAUGAACAGGCCCAGGGCCCGCACAGGCACCGAGCUGCCUGCAGAAUUCUGUUAUUUUAAAACAGUUUCUGACAGAGCCGGCUUCAGCUGUGCAUUGCUAGUGUGGUGUCGGAAGCGUAAUAAACACGACGCAGAGGAGGUGUGAAAUGUGUUCUGUGAAUAAAUUUGAAAUUCAUCUGCUUGAUGGAAAGACAGAUCGGACCAUCUAUCAGUAACGCAAGGCGGCAACUCCCCUGAGCGUCUGUGUCAUCAAAUACAAGUCUGCAGUUGGCCUCUGUAGACUGUGCGGUUCGCUCAUGCUCAAAGGCUUUGGAAGAUGGGUAUUUUGAAUGGGCAAUUGGUUGCAAAGUGAUUAUAUUCCCCAGUUUUUAUAAUCAGUAGGAUUAUUGACAUGUGAAAGACACGGUAUGAUAUAAGGCAACCCUGUCUGUGACUGUGACUACAUUUGUGAAGCAUCCUGAUUUCACCUCAGCAGCCUCCUGGGCCUUCUAACUACGAAUAAUCAAGCCAGUGUUUAUUUUUUUUAGAUUUUUUUUUUUGUGCUUGCGUGUUUUGCCCGCAUGCAUGUAUGAACGCCAUGUGCAUGUCUGGUGCCCGUGGAGGCCCAAAAAGGGCUCUGGACCCCUGGAGCCGGAGUUACAGAUGACUCCUGAGGGUUCUGGGAAUCAGGCCUGGGCUGUCUGCACGAACAGGGAGCCAUCUGUCUCUCCAGCCCCUCACUCUAUCGCGCAGAAAGCUAAGUGACUCGACCCCCCAGGAAGUUAGUGAGGCAGUAGUGAGGCAGUUUACAGGCCGUAAUCAGUUGACGGGCUGAGAAGUCACAUUGAAAGCAGGGUCAGUGACAGUGUAAGACUCCUGGUGUUGACCCACAGCCUGACUUUGUUUUGGAAUGUGCCACUUGUCAUGAGGCCGGGAGGUGGCUCUGUCGGUUAAGUGUUUGUCCUGGAAACGUGAGGACCCGAAUGUGACUGUACUCCUAGCCCUGUAGGCAGAGACAGGCAGUUCCUCGGGCCUCACUGGCUGGCCAGCCCAGCCUACAUGGUGGACUCCAGGCCAGUGAGAGAGAGACUGUCUUCAACAACAAGGUGACCAGAAUUUAGGGAACGACACCCUAGGUCAACCUUUGCACGAACACACCAUGCAGGGCAGAUAUCUGAACACAUUUGCUGUGGCUCUAGCUGCCUAGUAUGCUUGGCUGUAGGUUUUAUUGAUUAGUCAAGUACCAAUCCAUCUGCAAAUUUUAGUGGAUCGAUCAUUUAUCAGCAGUUUAUUUUUAUCACAGAUAGCAGCAGCUUGCUUAUCAGCAUGUAAGGUUCCAUGGAUUUGUCUGUGUGUCUGUAUUAUAUGUGUUCAUGUGUGAAAUGACCCACAAACCACAGGGUGCUCCCUUCCAGACCCGGGAUAGGCACAAACCACACCCCAAAAUCGAUUUCCAACACAGAGACCCUUUAUUAACCCAGGCAGAGAGACACGGCCGGCUGAACAACACACAGUGGAAACAGCUUUGCAGGAGUGAUUUUAAGAGGAAAGAAGGGGGAGCCAGGAGCAGCCAAAUGGGGAUUUCCAUUGCUGGAGCCUGAUGUCUGGAGAGUUGGACCUGGCGAUCAGCCUCAGGAAUGAGUGAGGCAGAAGAAAGUGGCUUAAACAGAGAACACACCUCGUGCUAGUGUUAGCAAUGUAGUCACGCCUAAGUAAGGGAACCCGAGGGUUAGCAAGGAAGAGAGAAGGGGAGUCAAGGCCUGGUGUUGUUUACCAUGCUGGACGAUCCUGUUAGAACCCGUCAGAGUGUGUGUGUGUGUGUGUGUGUGUGUGUGUGUGUGUGUGUGGUGUGUGUGGUGUGUGUUGUCUGUGUGUGUGGUGUGUGUGUGUGUGUCUGUGUGUGUGUGUGGUAUGUGUGGUGUGUGUGUGUGGUGUGUGUGUGUGUGUGUGGGUGGUGUG